rnacentral:rRNA from 1 species
UACGGAGGGGGCUAGCGUUGUUCGGAAUUACUGGGCGUAAAGGGUUCGUAGGUGGCCUGCUAAGUCAGACGUGAAAUCCCUCAGCUUAACUGGGGAACUGCGUCUGAUACUGGAAGGCUUGAGUGCAGGAGAGGAACGCGGAAUUCCAGGUGUAGCGGUGAAAUGCGUAGAUAUCUGGAGGAACGCCGGUGGCGAAGGCGGCGUUCUGGACUGCAACUGACACUGAUGAGCGAAAGCAUGGGGAGCGAACAGG